rnacentral:sRNA from 1 species
AGAUUUUACGUCACGGAGGCAGAAGAUCAAUCUGCAGGAUGGAUUUAAACUUGUACUUAUAAGGAAUGCAGUGACUAGUGGACACAUCACAGAUGGGAUCAAAUAACACAGUGUCAGAGAUUAUGAAGAACAAAUGGAUGUAGUAGUGCAGAGGUUUGUAAGAUUUCUUGGAUGCAGUCUGAAGACAAUGAAUAAAUGAAAGAUCCAGGAUCCAGAUAUUCGUCCUGAGCUCAAAGAUAUCUGCACUACAUUUUGUAUACAAGUUAUGACAGAAGUUUAGACUUGACUUGUGAAAUGAUAAACAGCACAUCGAAAAAGAAGUUGGACAAAAAGUGGGAUUAAUGCAGAAACUAUUAAAGCUGCAGUGAGUGAGAACCAUUCACAGGAGAAUAACAAACUUGUCUAUAUGAUAUUUGCAACAAUAAAAAUGAUAUGUAUUUUU